rnacentral:rRNA from 1 species
UGGCGGAAUGCUUUACACAUGCAAGUCGAACGGCAGCACGGGGGCAACCCUGGUGGCGAGUGGCGAACGGGUGAGUAAUACAUCGGAACGUGCCCAGUCGUGGGGGAUAACUACGCGAAAGCGUAGCUAAUACCGCAUACGAUCUACGGAUGAAAGCGGGGGAUCGCAAGACCUCGCGCGAUUGGAGCGGCCGAUGGCAGAUUAGGUAGUUGGUGGGGUAAAGGCUCACCAAGCCAUCGAUCUGUAGCUGGUCUGAGAGGACGACCAGCCACACUGGGACUGAGACACGGCCCAGACUCCUACGGGAGGCAGCAGUGGGGAAUUUUGGACAAUGGGCGCAAGCCUGAUCCAGCCAUUCCGCGUGCAGGAUGAAGGCCUUCGGGUUGUAAACUGCUUUUGUACGGAACGAAAAAGCUCUUUCUAAUACAAGGAGUCCAUGACGGUACCGUAAGAAUAAGCACCGGCUAACUACGUGCCAGCAGCCGCGGUAAUACGUAGGGUGCAAGCGUUAAUCGGAAUUACUGGGCGUAAAGCGUGCGCAGGCGGUGAUGUAAGACAGUUGUGAAAUCCCCGGGCUCAACCUGGGAACUGCAUCUGUGACUGCAUCGCUGGAGUGCGGCAGAGGGG